UGUCAUGACCUUAUAUAAAAAUAGAACUCUUCUUCUAUAGCAUGAUACAUGUAAAAAAGGAGUUCUCACGGCUACCAACCUUACAGUAGAGGCUGAGUAGUAGUAUGUUUCUCUCACACAC